GACGAACGCUGGCGGCGUGCUUAACACAUGCAAGUCGAACGGAAAGGCCCUGCUUUUGUGGGGUGCUCGAGUGGCGAACGGGUGAGUAACACGUGAGUAACCUGCCCUUGACUUUGGGAUAACUUCAGGAAACUGGGGCUAAUACCGGAUAGGAGCUCCUGCUGCAUGGUGGGGGUUGGAAAGUUUCGGCGGUUGGGGAUGGACUCGCGGCUUAUCAGCUUGUUGGUGGGGUAGUGGCUUACCAAGGCUUUGACGGGUAGCCGGCCUGAGAGGGUGACCGGCCACAUUGGGCCUGAGAUACGGCCCAGACUCCUACGGGAGGCAGCAGUGGGGAAUAUUGCACAAUGGGCGGAAGCCUGAUGCAGCAACGCCGCGUGCGGGAUGACGGCCUUCGAGUUGUAAACCGCUUUCGCCUGUGACGAAGCGUGAGUGACGGUAAUGGGUAAAGAAGCACCGGCUAACUACGUG
rnacentral:rRNA from 1 species